rnacentral:rRNA from 1 species
ACGCGUGGGAAUCUACCCAUCUCUACGGAACAACUCCGGGAAACUGGAGCUAAUACCGUAUACGUCCUUAUGGAGAAAGAUUUAUCGGAGAUGGAUGAGCCCGCGUUGGAUUAGCUAGUUGGUGGGGUAAUGGCCUACCAAGGCGACGAUCCAUAGCUGGUCUGAGAGGAUGAUCAGCCACAUUGGGACUGAGACACGGCCCAAACUCCUACGGGAGGCAGCAGUGGGGAAUAUUGGACAAUGGGCGCAAGCCUGAUCCAGCCAUGCCGCGUGAGUGAUGAAGGCCCUAGGGUUGUAAAGCUCUUUCAACGGUGAAGAUAAUGACGGUAACCGUAGAAGAAGCCCCGGCUAACUUCGUGCCAGCAGCCGCGGUAAUACGAAGGGGGCUAGCGUUGUUCGGAAUUACUGGGCGUAAAGCGCACGUAGGCGGAUAUUUAAGUCAGGGGUGAAAUCCCGGGGCUCAACCCCGGAACUGCCUUUGAUACUGGGUAUCUCGAGUCCGAGAGAGGUGAGUGGAAUUCCGAGUGUAGAGGUGAAAUUCGUAGAUAUUCGGAGGAACACCAGUGGCGAAGGCGGCUCACUGGCUCGGUACUGACGCUGAGGUGC